rnacentral:rRNA from 1 species
UACGUAGGGUGCAAGCGUUGUCCGGAUUUACUGGGCGUAAAGCGCACGUAGGCGGUUCGUUAAGUCGGAUGUGAAAGCCCUCGGCUCAACUGAGGAAGUGCACCCGAAACUGGCGAGCUUGAGUACGAAAGAGGAUCGCGGAAUUCCCGGUGUAGAGGUGAAAUUCGUAGAUAUCGGGAGGAACACCGGUGGCGAAGGCGGCCAACUGGACCAUUACUGACGCUGAGGCGCGAAAGCGUGGGGAGCAAACAGG